ensembl:lncRNA
UAUGACAGGUUAUGACAGGUUAGGGUAGGUGGGACAGGAUAUGACAGGUUAAGGUAGAUAGGGACAGGAUAUGACAGGGUAAGGUAGAUAGGGACAGGACAGGAUAUGACAGGUUAAGGUAGAUAGAGACAGGAUAUGACAUGUUAAAGUAGAUAGGGACAGGAUAUGACAGGUUAAGGUAGAUAGGGACAGGAUAUGACAGGGUAAGGUAGAUAGGGACAGGAUAUGACAGGUUAAGGUAGAUAGGGACAGGAUAUGGCAGGUUAUGACAGGUUAAGGUAGAUAGGGACAGGACAGGAUAUGACAGGUUAAGGUAGGUUGGGACAGGAUAUGACAG